rnacentral:rRNA from 1 species
GAUGAACGCUGGCGGCGUGCUUAACACAUGCAAGUCGAACGGAAAGGCCCAAGCUUGCUUGGGUACUCGAGUGGCGAACGGGUGAGUAACACGUGGGUGAUCUGCCCUGCACUUCGGGAUAAGCCUGGGAAACUGGGUCUAAUACCGGAUAGGACCACAUUUUGGAUGGUGUGGUGGAAAGUUUUUCGGUGUGGGAUGAGCUCGCGGCCUAUCAGCUUGUUGGUGGGGUAAUGGCCUACCAAGGCGUCGACGGGUAGCCGGCCUGAGAGGGUGUACGGCCACAUUGGGACUGAGAUACGGCCCAGACUCCUACGGGAGGCAGCAGUGGGGAAUAUUGCACAAUGGGCGCAAGCCUGAUGCGGCGACGCCGCGUGGGGGAUGACGGCCUUCGGGUUGUAAACUCCUUUCGCUAGGGACGAAGCGUUUUUGUGACGGUACCUGGAGAAGAAGCACCGGCUAACUACGUG